UUAGCGAGCGUGCAAUUUAUCAGCAGGCGAACAUACUGCGUGACACGAUUACAACGUGUGUUUAUCUGCGUUAAUUGCACGUUUUUGAUACAAAACUCGUCCAAUUAGCACUUCAAAAAAAGAUGGGAAAUUUGAAAAAUUCCAGGAAACCAAAAAGGUCAAAAAGUCGAAGCAAUUGAAAAGGUCGUACCUAAAGCGCCGAGAAGCUGAAGAAGUGGACGCAACGAGGUGAUGAUAAAACCGAAGACGAUAGUGUGAUAGAUCAGGAAAACAACGAUCAUGCGAAGAGAAUAAAGGAACAGUGAGCAAGCGAUGAAGUCAAAAAGGGCCCAAAGAUCUAUACCUAAGCCUUUUACUAUCUCCCUCUAGAGCCAUCCCAUCCCUCAACGUCCUUCGCCUAAGGAUGCUGGAAGGGGCCGCGGCUCUAAUCGUCCCAAUUGGACUAGAGCGGAACAUUCACAAAAGUAUGUGGUGUGCCGUCUCGUCGUCUGUGUAGUUCUGUCUGUCUGUCUGUCUGUUUAGUUUGCAGUGCAGAAAAAAUGUCGUGCCAAAAUACCGUAAACAAAAACUGUAAUUAAUUCGCCGUUUGCAACCGUUCCCGUCAAGAUCUUUCGCAAGAAGCCGAUCACCGCUGCCAGCAUGAUUUCUGGAGAGCGUUUCUCCGACGUGUUUUCUGUGGCAUCCAUUUUGCAGUUUCCUAAACCAUGCCCAGGGGCAAGUUCUCAUCCUCUGGUGUCGUUCGAGUCCGCCCGUCCCGUUCCGCCACUUUCCGGUUGCCGUUUGUGUUGAAAGUGAUUUAUACUCGAUUUAAUUAUUAUACUUUAAAUUUAAUUUAACUAACUAAACCGUUUAAUUUUAAAAGCUCACCGAUUGAGUGCGAACUACCGAAGGCUAAUAAAUAAAAGAAGUUGAAGAGAA